GCGACUCCAACACAAUGUCUUGUGAAGCCAACCUAUUCUCUAACGGCUAGCUGCUGCUACUCUCGCCAAGGCUGGAACCAGAACCUUCGUCUCUUCCUUGGUGCUAUAUCUAAGUUAGCUGCUAAUGGGAUAGUCAUAUACGGACCGGAUACGAUGGACUGGAUUUCAACUGGGUGGACAGAACGGACAUGACUCGGAGACAUGGUGGCAGAAAAAAAA